rnacentral:tRNA from 1 species
GCCGGAAUAGCUCAGUUGGUAGAGCAACGCUUUCGUAAAGCGUGGGUCGUCGGUUCGAGUCCGAUUUCCGGCU